rnacentral:rRNA from 1 species
CCUACGGGAGGCAGCAGGGAGGAAUAUUGGUCAAUGGGCGCGAGCCUGAACCAGCCAAGUAGCGUGAAGGAGGACUGCCCUACGGGGUGUAAAAUUCUGUUAUAAAGGAAUAAAGUGAGGCACGUGUGCCUUUUUGUAUGUACUUUAUGAAUAAGGAUCGGCUAACGCCGUGCCAGCAGCCGCGGUAAUACGGAGGAUCCGAGCGUUAUCCGGAUUUAUUGGGUUUAAAGGGAGCGUAGAUGGGUUGUUAAGUCAGUUGUGAAAGUUUGCGGCUCAACCGUAAAAUUGUAAUUGAUACUGGCAGCCUUUAGUACAGUUGAGGUAGGCUGACUUCGUUGUGUCGCGG